AGUGAACGCUGGCGGUAGGCCUAACACAUGCAAGUCGAACGGCAGCACAGUAAGAGCUUGCUCUUACGGGUGGCGAGUGGCGGACGGGUGAGGAAUACAUCGGAAUCUACUUUUUCGUGGGGGAUAACGUAGGGAAACUUACGCUAAUACCGCAUACGACCUACGGGUGAAAGCAGGGGAUCUUCGGACCUUGCGCGAUUGAAUGAGCCGAUGUCGCAUUAGCUAGUUGGCGGGGUAAAGGCCCACCAAGGCGACGAUCCUUAGCUGGUCUGAGAGGAUGAUCAGCCACACUGGAACUGAGACACGGUCCAGACUCCUACGGGAGGCAGCAGUGGGGAAUAUUGGACAAUGGGCGCAAGCCUGAUCCAGCCAUACCGCGUGGGUGAAGAAGGCCUUCGGGUUGUAAAGCCCUUUUGUUGGGAAAGAAAAGCAGCAGGUUAAUACCCCGCUGUUCUGACGGUACCCAAAGAAUAAGCACCGGCUAACUUCGUG
rnacentral:rRNA from 1 species